CUUUACACUAUGGGAGGAUGCAUUGGAUUCAAGCUAGGAAGAGUGGUUUGACUGUGGCCAGAGGCUGCCAUGUUGGCUGAGCCGUCUCCAGUUACAUGGAAAGAGAACAUAGAGAAAGGAGGAGAAGGAGACAGGAGAUGAACACUGACACAGAGAAAUCGAAACACCUAUGGAGACAUCCAGAGAAAUGGAGAAAGGCCUGGACACCUCCCUUGAGUCUGUUCCCAGAGCAUGUUAGAAUCCCAGGUUCAGAGGACGCCUUGCAUGGCCUUGCUCCAGCCUCCACGCUCCCAAAGCUUCAGCCUGAUAGAGACAUUCCUCAGCCUUUCCUGGAAAACAAGUAGUGUGUGCACCUCUACCUGCUGUGAGUCUUGAGGGAGGAAAUAAGAGAAGACAAGAGGAGACCGCAGCGGGAUCAGGCAAAUUUUCCUUCCUCCUAUGGCUGUGAGACAGUGGCUUCCUGGCAAGACAUCA
rnacentral:lncRNA from 1 species